GGCUGAGACAGCAGCACGACACUCUCUUGCCUGUGAGAAUAUGGCCUUGAUGACAACAUAAAGCCCAAAAGGACAAUUUCCAAAAAAAUUGAAUCAGAAUAAACAAAAAGAGCCAGGUUUCUGGAAAAUAUAUCAGGUCCAGGAGACUGGUUCAUCAUGGAACAGCAGGAUUUGCAGAGCAGGAGGCGGAGCAAGUCUGUAAAGGCCUUUACAUGUAUCCAUCC
rnacentral:lncRNA from 1 species